rnacentral:lncRNA from 1 species
AAAAAUAAUAAUAGUUAUUUGACUUAGAAAAUCAAGAAGUAAUUUACUUUUUAUUCUAUUUUAUUCUUACUGUUAAGUAAAAUUUCUUUUAAUAUAUUUUUAUAAUUAAAUAUUUAAAAAUAUGUCAAAUUGAUAUUGAACAAGUAAAAAUACAAGAGAAGUAUUGAAAACAUCAUUGAACUUGACACAAAUCAUUAGUUUCGUCUCUAAACUAUUGACAGUCUUAAAAACACUCGUUUACUUGACUAAUUAAACUUAGAUACACUCCAAUUUGUCACAUGACAGAGCAAGUGGUUUCAAACUCUCAUAGGAUUAUGAAACUCUUAAUUAAAACUUAGUGAUGUAUUGAAAAUAAUUUUAUACUUGGCGCAAAUUUAAAAAUAUUUUUUUUUUCAAAUUAUAUAAUCGAUACUUUCAAGACUAUCAACAACUUGAAAAUAAGCCUUGAUGAAAGAGUUGACCAUUCUAAACCAAACCACAAUUGUGUAAACUCCUUUGACAGCUGGGUCUUAUGAGAAUUGACGAGACCUUCGUGUAAACGCCGUUCAAUAUGGCGGCCCUGCCAACUGGCAUUUUCAAGUCAACAACUCUAUAAAUUUGUUUUUUUCCCCUCUUCUUUUUAAGUUUGCACUUUGCGGUCUAAACAAGGUUGGUUUAUUAUGCACUUUGUUCAAAUAAAUAACAAAAUUUGUCGAUUGAGCGUUUACUCGUUAAAUAAUUAUAGAUUGAUAUGACUUGUGAUAAAAUAUAUAUUUCAAUGACCCAUAUCAGGCCAGCUGCUUCACGAGAAGCCAAACUAUAGUUAGUAAAAUAGUACUGUAAACGUAAUGGUGCCCACAAAUUGAGAACAGACAAAAUCUUUUCACACUUCCCAAUUUUCACACCUUUGAUUGUCCUUUCUUCCCAUCAACACAAACAAAAAAACAACUUGUCAAUAGUCCUACCAUGCUUCUCAAUUUAACUAUAGAACAUAUAAACAAAUAUUAAAAUUAUAAGCCUAGUCCUAAUUUUUGACCUGCUAAUUCACAACUAACUUGAGCUAAUCCAACUCUAGAGUUUGCAAGAUCAAAUUCCAUCCAGAAAUUUUGCUGGUGAUGAUGUCCAAUAAUGUACGCUGCUACUCCUAGUAAGUCUGAAUUUCCCAUCGUAAAACAAUACACUUGAUCCUUUCCUCUCGUUACCCCUGCUAAUUUGUAAAGCAAUUUUUCACCCAUAACGCUCAUUUCCACCCCCGGAAACAUCAAUGUUACUGGUGGCAACCGCGGUAGUAUCGUACGAGUCGAUUCAACUAAGUAACACAAGUCCAUCGCCCCUUGGAAUACGAAAUUCGGGUCGUUCAAUACCCUCAACACGCCUUUGGUUUGUUUAAUGAACUCAUUUUUUAACGCGGUGUAAGCCGGGCCAAGUAGAUAAGUAAAUUGAGUACCCGAAUCAACCAUGGUUUGACCCGCUCCAGUAUGAUCCGGUAUGAGUACGGAUUUAGGCAAGGGUAAAAUCGUCUCACCAACUUUAAUUCCUUCCAACUGAACCGUAUAAGCGACCCGAUCAAAAUAAGGUAACGGAGUUGACAUUUGAACUAACGGAGUGUACUUCCUUGGUUUAAGCCAAGGCAAAUUCGCUUCUCCAAAUAGGAGAACGCCGUUACUGUCACGACCCGAAAUACAAUAAGAGAAUUUGGGGUAACCCAUUUGUGUAACGAAAGAUAAACCACCACGGUUCAUUCCUAUUAAUCCGGUAGUCCUUGAAUCUUCCGGGUUUGAACUUGAACUCAUAUCCAUGCACCCGAAUACCACACCGGGUAAAUUCAAAUUAUCGAUACGGAAAGUUUCAGUAGCUAAAUUACCCUCAACGGAAGAACUGUCAGCGUACGAUAGGGUAGCAUGGCAGAGCCUUUUCGGGUCACAUGAAACGGGUAUGGAAAAAUCCCGGGUUUUCAUCCUGCAUGUCGGUGAAGAACAGGGGAUAGCAGAGUAUGAAGAAGAAACAAGCGGGUUGAAAAUUAAAGGUGUUAUUGGGGUUUUUUUACAAUGGAGCCAAGAAAGUUCACUCCCUGUAUCGAGCACCAUGACAACUUGUUGCGGAGGUGACCCAAUAGAAAGAGAGACAGUAAGCGAAACAUUAUGAUGAAAAGCAACUCUGUUUGGGGGUUUCGGGGAGGAGAUAGAUGCUGUUUUCUUGACUAUGAGGGGAAGAAUCAAUGAAUGUUUAGUAGCAAUUGAUUGAAUGAAUAAGGUAGAAAACACAAGGUGAAGAAGCAGAAGAUUUACAGAGUCAUCCAUAACAGAACAAAGAUAGAGUACUUGGAGGGGAUUUUGAAUGUUUGAGGCUCUUUCUGACUACUGAGCAGUCAUUACUGAAUUUUCACAACUUUGUUUUCUUCUAGUGUAGUUGUUGAAGGUGUCCCCUACGUACAAUAGUAACCGAUAAACUCUGCAAAUUAUUAUAUAUAUAGAUGGAGAUGAAAUUUAUUAUUUUUAGGAGAAAAUAUUUAAUUGGAAUUUUUUAACUAGCUAUUACAAAUACAUGGCAACAUUAACUCAUUAUCAAUUAUGGUAUAUAAAUAUUAACCAUAAUAGCACAUGAGAAUCGAUCAUUCAUAUAUUCACCAUAAAUAACCUUAUAUAACAUAUUUUAAUUUACACGAGAAUCGAUCAUUCGUAUAUAUACCAUAAAUAUAUGUAUGCUUUAAAUUCAAAAAGUUUUUUCCAUUAAUAGACUACAAAUAUUUAUUUAAUUAAUAUUCUUUUCUAUAAAAAAAAAUGCUCUCAAUAUAAUAAAUUUGUACCAUGAAUAUAUAUAUUUUCCCAUAAAUUUAUAUAUAUAAUAUAAUAAUAAUCUGACUUUACUAUAAAUCAUAUUUAUACCAUAAAAAUAUAUGUUAGAUUGUGGAUAAAAAAUUUAUACCAUAUACCCCACACACAUAUAUAUACACCAUAAAAAAAAUAUUCCAAAAUUUUAUGCCAAAAAUAUAUCAAUAAUCUAACUUUCAUAAGGUAUGUUUAUACCAUGAUUUAUUUUAGAUAAUAUAAGAAGUUUAUACCAUACAUAUAUUACGAAUAAAAAUUAUAUGUAAUAAUAUUAUCAAUAAUGAUUUUACAUGAAAAUAAGGAGUGAUAUUAAACUAAAUAAUUUAUAUAUUGAUUGUAGUAGAUACUAUAAAAUAUUGGUUAAAAUAUUUGAAUACAUGUUCGAGAGAAAGAUUUGAUAUUUUUUUUUAUGAUAUACUUUAUUGAAAGAUAGAAGAGAAUCUUUUAAAUUAAGGUUAUUAAAUUAAACUAGAAAUUAUAAUUAUCUUUUUUAUUUAUUUUUUAAAAUUAAUAAAAAUAUAUAUUCAUGUACAUAAUAUUUAAAAAUAUAGUUAUUAAUGUACUUAACUUUUUCCUUUUUUCUUAUCUCACAAAAAACUAAAUCUAAGCUUAUGAAUUUAAAAGUACAAGAUUUGGAUUCAUUUUUGUCCGCGGUAAAAACUUUCAAACCGAGAUGCAUCUUUUACGGAUAGAAGAAUCUUUGUACGAACAGAAGUCAGUACCAUCUAUUCAAGAGAUUUUGUCCAAGUGCAAAUUUUUACCUUUAAAAAAAUAAUUCAAUAUUAUGGUGGUCAUGUAAAGUAAAUAAAAGGGAUAAGGGUCUGAAAAAUAUCUCAACUUUGAUCGAAUUUAUUGUUGCGAUACUAAACUUUCAUAAGGACCUAUUAUCUCCCUAGACUAUUUAAUACCGUAUUUUUUACCCCAUGAACUAUUUAAUAGUGUAUUUUAAAGGUAUAUAUGUGCUGACGUGGACACAUUACUAUUUAUAAUUUUGCAUUAUUUUUUAUGUCCACAGUUUUACAUUGGUUUAGACAAUUAAAAUACAUAAUCUAAUUUUAAUUUUCUUUAAUAUUUAGUCAUGUAACUAAUACUUAUUAAACUUAAUUUUAGCAUGAUUUAGUACUUUUAAAUUAGGAAUAAGGGUCUGAAAAAUACCUUAACUUUGGUCGGAUUUGUUGUUGCGAUACUAAACUUUCAUGAGGGUCUAUUACCUCCCUAGACUAUUUAAUACCGUAUUUUUUACCCCCUGAACUAUUUAAUAGUGUAUUUUAAAGGUAUAUAUGUGCUGACGUGGACACAUUACUAUUUAUAAUUUUGCAUUAUUUUUUAUGUCCACAUGGGCAAAUAUAUAUGUUUAAAAUACGGUAUUAAAUAGUAUAGGGAGGUCAUAGGUCCUCAUGAAAGUUUAGUAUCGCAACAACAAAUUCGACCAAAAUUGGGGUAUUUUUCAGACCCUUAUCCCUAAAUAAAAUAUUAUGCAGAAUCCUUUCCGAAGUAACUAAACAAUACUGUGAUAUAGGCGUAUAUUUGUGACUUUAGAUGCUAUUGUGUUACUGAUACGAUGAGAUAAUAUCUCAGAUGAUCACUAACUAAAUUAAAACUUUUCUUAUCAGAAAAUCACUCAACUGAGUUCUUUUCUCAGAAAGUCACUCAACUGUUUUUCAUAACCUCAAAGUCACUAAACUAUGAGUUUUUCUCCUAGAAAGUCACUCAACUAUGAGUUUUCCUCUUAAAAAGUCACUUAAAUUUCUUUUAUAAACUCAAAGUCACUCAACUAUGAAUAUAUUACUUACAAAGUCACCCAACCUAUUUAAUUAAUUUUUUCAUUAAAAUUUGUUGACAUGAAAUUUUUAUUUAAAAUAAAAAAUUGUAAAGAAUAGGAAAAUAUCCUAACAAAAGUAGAAUUUAAAUAAUUUUAAUAAAAGUAGAUUUAAGUCGACUAACAAGACCUUCUGCUAUCAAAAUUUGGUGUCUUUCCAAAUUGUUUUUAACUGGAUUUUGGGUAUAUGUUUUUUUUAAAAGUUAAUUUUAAAUUAUCCAUUUUAGCAUAGGAAUUAAAAAGGGGCUAAUUUUACAUAAAAUUGCUUUUAAAAAAAAUUAAGGUUCAUUUUGUAUACUGUUCAGUUGGAAUAAAAAUACAACUAAAUAAUCACGUUUAAAAUAGUCUUAGGUUAAUUGUUAGUCUGCACGACCUAGUAAUUUGCUGAUUUUAACUUUUCGCCUAAGUGUGAAACAAAUUGCCUAACGUGUUCCAACAAAGCAGUAAGGACAGUAAGUAAAAACACAAUUUUUUUACGUGGAAAACACCCGGCUCAAAAGGUGUAAAAAACCACGACCUGUACCCCUACAUGAUUUAACUCCUACUUUACUAAAUCACUGAGCCUCCACAAAAGAUAGAUUACAAACUUUGCAACCUACCUUAACUUCAAGUUAUGGAUUUAGAUUACAACUCUUGUAAUCCUAGGAACUAACUCUAAUUCCUAACCUUCAACACAAACCUCCCAAGGUAUGUGUUCCCAUCUCUUCGAGUUAUCACAACCUGAAGACAACAUUUCUAAUUCAGCUUAUAACUCACUAAACUAAGAUUACAUCAAGACUCAAUCACAAAGAAAAACCCCUAACACAUAAACUCUGUAGAAGGAUUAGGUUCUUCGAUGUGUUCCUUCUAUGUGUUCCUUCAGUUCGCUGCUAGCACUUGCGAAGUCAAUUUCUCAAUUGCUCUUUUUGCUCUAUAAGUGCACACGUAUUCUGGACGACUUCACCUCUAUUUAAGCACAAUUCUUCAUCGCUCUUUUUGCUCUAUAAGUGCACACGUAUUCUGGACGACUUCACCUCUAUUUAAGCACAAGUCUUCAUAGAAUUAUUGUUUACUUCAAACUCCUCAUUGACUUGAACUCUCUUGACUUAGAGUUCUACUUCAAGUAAGACUCAUUAUUCAAUUCAAACUCCUUGCUUCUUUAGACUCCUUCUUCAAAUUACAUUCAUUGAUUCUUUUGUAUUGUAGUCAAACUCCAACACUUCAAUUCAACAGUAACUUGAAGAGUUCUACUUUAAGUAAGACUCCUUCUUCAAUUAAAACUCCUUGCCUCUUUAGACUCCUUCUUCAAAUCAAACUCAUUGAUUCUUUCUCUUCAAUUCAUCAGAUGUUUAUUUCCUUGAGUUUUCUCACGAAAUUAACAUUAUCCAUUCCUUUAUUUCUACACUUUUGUCUUUGUUCAUUCUAAAAGUUUUCUCGAAUUUAACUGCUCGUGACAGUGCACCUUUGGACCAUAUUGACUGACGUGUUUCGUCUUUCUUUGUCAAUCAUCAAAACUGCAUAAAUCCCAACAUUAAUGACUACUAAUAAUAAAAUAAUAACAAUAUUAUUAUUAUUCUAUUUUUUACGAUUUUUAUUUUUAAAUAGAAAAAUUUCAUGUAAACUAACUUUGAUGAAAAAUUCAAUUAAAUAGGUUGAGUGAUUUCUAAGUAAAUUACUCAUAGUUGAGUGACUUUGGGGCUAUAAAUAAAAGUUGAGUGACUUUCUGAGAGAAGAACUCAUAGUUGAGUGACUUUGAGGUUAUAAAAAAAAAGUUGAGUGACUUUCUGAGAAAAGAAUUCAUAGUUAAGUGACUUUCAGAGAAAAGAAUUCAUAGUAGAGUGACCAUCUGAGAAAUUUUUUUUUAGUUGAGUGACCAUCUGAGAUAUUAUCUCCUGAUAUGAUAGAUGAUAUUUGUAUCUUUAUAGGUAAUAACUAAAUAUAUAGAGAAAAUACAUAAUUACCCCAUCAAACUUAGACCCUUUUUUGAAGAAUGACACCUUAAGUUUGCAGAGGUCCUAUUAACCCACGAAACCAUUUAAAUCGACAAUAAAUACGUCAUUUUGACCCAUUUUCACGGCAAUUGUAAUUUCACACUAGAAAAACGCGUGAAAAAGUAAAAUUGCAGCCCCAAACCAAUGGAAAACUUACACAUGACAUUGUUAAACCAAAGUGAAAAGAGGCCGACGUUUCUUUUUCCCUAAACCACCAUUAAUGGCUGUUGAGAGCUUCUCUCAACAACAAAAGUUGGUUCUUUACUACGCAAAGCGAAUUUUUUUAUUGUAAACUCUAUCAUCAAGUUCUAGCAAUCCAUCUUAAGGCCUUUUAUUAGAAAAUCUACUUAACAACGACAUAAUAUUUGAUCAAUUUAGCACCUAAUUUACCUUUCAGCAAAGAAAUUUGAACCCACUUCCAUUCAUAUAGCUUUCCCAGAUCAAAAGUAUCAAAGAAUCUACUCAAACAAAUUCAAAAAAAUGUGAAAUUCACUUACAGAACUCAAAGCUAGUCUUGAUUUGGGAAUACCUACAAAGCUAAAAAAGAUUAAACUAAUUUUUGAAGAAAAAAAUUUGAAAUCAAACACCAAAUAAACAACAAAAAACACUGAAAGACAACACACAAAACUUACAUAAAUAUAUAUCUACAAAGAAAUUCAGAAAAAAAAUAAUCUUUUGAAGUGAAGUAAAUCGAAAGAACUGGGAAAAGGAAUUGGGAAAGAUGAACGAUAAAUUUUUUAAAAAGGUUUAAGGGUUGAAAUGUGAGUGGGUCAGGGUUUUACCCAACCCACUAUUAAACAAGUAAGAAAAAUAAAAAAAUAUUAUUUUAUUUGGGGGUAAAACACACGCACUGGUCAUGAGUUUGCAAAUAUUGUAAAAGUAGUGUAUUUAAAAUUGUUGGAAAUGGUUGGAUAGGGUAAUAGGACCCCCGCAAACUUUAGGUGUCUACUUCAAAAAAGGAUACAAAUUUUAUGGGGUAAUUAUGUAUUUUCCCAAAUAUAUAAGAUAAUUAUAUUUUUCUUUUCGAAAAUGUAAAAAUAAUUAUGAAAAUACUUUUGAUUUUCAAAAAAGUAAACUCAAAUAUAGUAAAAAAAAUCUGGGGAAAAACUCUAACACCUAUUACCCUUUGAAUUUAUUUAUUUUUAUAUUUUUUAUGCUCCUAAAUUAUAUAUGUGACGGUCAUAUUAUCCCAUGAAUUUAUUAUUUUCAUAUUAUUUAAAUUUCUAAAUUUUUUAAGUUCAAUUUUUGUUUGUAUUAAAGAAGUUUUCAUCCUUUUCUUGUUGCAGUUUUUGGGGAAUUAUUGAUACCAACUGUGAACCUGGCUCUGAUACCAUUUUUAGGACCAAAAUAAUUAGGUGUCAUACGGAAGAUUAUAGACUCAUAAUUUUUAUUGGAUUAAAUUCAUACAAAAUUUAAAUCAAAUCCAUGUUCAAUUGGUUGAAUGAUUAAUUUGGGUUUUACAAAUAAAUAAGUCCACUUUAUUAAAUUCAAGUCCAACAUCCAUUUCACCUUGAAGCCCAAACCAUGCCACGUGUCACAAUGACUAGGCAUCCAAGACCAACAAGGUGACGUCAUGUGUUCAAAUAUUGUGGUAGUCUCAGUUAAAUUCAAGAACCAAUCACAAUCCGCCAAGUGUCAAAAUGACAUCUUUUGGUCAAUCAUAAGCAACUUUGUCCACACCCUACAACUACAAAAAAAAGAAGAGUCUGAAGACAAUUUAGAAAAGACUCCAACAAACUUUCAACAGGCGUUGGAGAAAGCCACAGCAUCAACUACAUAGUUCUUCAAAGGACUGAUCAACGAAGUUUCUCCCGAAGAUCGACUUGAAACGACGAAGUGUUUUCAGACAUUUCCGAAGAUCAAACACAUCUCAAGGAGGUCUACAUCAUUCUACAUUCGAGAAAUACACUACUAAUAGCUCUCGAAUCAUGGAGAAAUAUUAGGAGGGAAGAAUCAAAAGAGUAACAAAAUUAUACUCACAAGAUUCAUCAAUAAAAUUCACAUUUUUUUAUUGCAGUUACUUUUCAGCGCUAUUGAAAAUUUUCACUAACAAAGAUAACAAAGCAAACCUCAAAAGAUCGUGAGUAAGAAUACGAACGAGAAGUAGACCCAACAAUUGGAUCAAAUUAAACCAACAAAAGUCGAACUUUCGAACCUCGUUUGUCUUGGAUUUUUCUUUUUUAGAUAUUUCUUUAUUCCUAACUUAUGAUUUAGAUAUUUCUUUAGAGUCUGUUUGACAUUGCUGUUGAGAGGCCAAAAAUGUUUUAUUUUUAUUUUUAUUAUUAUAGAAAAAACUUCUUUUUAGAAAAUUAAGUGUUUGGCAAAUCCUCAAAAGUGCUUGUAAAUAGAAGCAGAAACAAUUUUUCUGUUGUUGGAAAGAAGUUAAAAAUUUCUGCUUCUUAACAAAAACAGAAGCAGAAAAUUAUUUUUGUGAAGACUAAAAUAUCCCUUACAUAUUUACUAAUAUAUCUCUUAUUAAUUAAUUAACAUAUUUCAUAAUUUUUGCUAAGUUUCAUUCAAAAAAAUUUUAUUUUAUUUUUAUAUGAUAAUUUUUUAUUUAUUUAUGUUUAUAUAUUAUUAUUUAUAUUUUAUAUAUUAUUUUACAUAGUAUUAGAAAUAAGUAAUAUAAUAUUUUGCAGGAUUAAAUAAGAGAAAAAAGUAACAAUUAAAGCUUUCAGCCCUCCCAAAAAAAGUAACAAAUAAAAAAGUUUCUCUACUUAUUUGUGGAAUAGUUUUUAAAUUUAUUUUGCUUGAUAUUUUUAAUUAUAUUUAACUCAUCAUGUUAACAUUAUAUUAAUAUUUUAUUUAUUUAUUUUUCUAUGUAUAAUAUUUAUUAAUAAUUUGAAUUGAAUAUACACAAUUUAAUUUAAGUAAAAUAAAAAUUUAAUUAAAGUUAUGUAUUAGAUAUUUAAAAUAGUUUCUCUCUACAAAAUAAUCUUAAAAGCACAUUGAUACUUGCCUUUUUUCGUAAUUUGACUCUCAAAAGCACUUUGCGAUUGAAUUUGCCAAACACAAAUUGCUUUUUUUGAAAAACACUUUUCAGAAAAGUUUUUUUUUUUAAAAAAGCUUAUAAAAAUAAACACUUUUUAGCAGCAAUGUCAAAAAGGCUCUUAGUCUCAACAAUUUAUAAUUAUCUUAGAUGUUUCUAAAGUAAAUGACAGAAAGUGUUAGAUGAGUAAUGACACUAAAAUGUUCAAGAAAAAAGAUAUUGAAAUCAUAAAAAAUAAAUAUUAUAAAUUAAUAAGUCAUAACAAAAAUGAUCACAAUUUUAAAGUACUAAAGUCAUGUUAAAAUAAAUAUGGCUAAUAAGUACUCUCUCGUUUUUUUUUUUACUUGUCAAAUUCUGUCUUGUCACACUUAUUAAGAAAGUAUUGAUUGUUAUAGUGAUCUACUAUUUUACCCAUAUGAUUCAAAAUAUCUUUACUCACUACAUUUUUCAAAGAUAUUAACUUAAUGUUAAUAAAUUAAAGGUAUAUUGGGUUAAAAAAUUGUCUUUCUUUUGUUUGUCAAAAAUGACAAGUAAAAAGAAAAAAAUGGACAAAUAAAAAGAGAAAGAAGGAGUAUUAAGUAAUUGAAAGACCAAACAUUAAAGAAAAAAUUAUCUUUGUGUUUUAAUGAUCUAAAUCAAUGCAAAACUAAUGAAUAGAUAUAUCCAAUAUUAUUGUCAUUCCCUGUGUUGAAUCAAAUUUCUUUUAUUAGCAUGAAUAUUAGUUUACUUUUGAUUUGAGCUUUAUUUGAAAUACCAACAUCCAAGAGCUAUAAAAAUUUAUUGGACCAUUUAAAAUUUAAAGUCCAAACUUGAGAUAAUAUAUUAAUACAUAAAAAACUAUGAAAAAUUUCAACAAAUAUUUAUAAAUUACAUUAUGAUUAAUGUUUUUUUUAUGUAUAAAAUAUUUUCAAAAAUUGUAACAUAUAAUAUCAUAUUGAUUCGCUUAAAUUUAACUUUUUUUAUAAAUCGUUUCAAACCAAAUCAAUUAUGACUAAUUUUUUUUCUAUACCAAAUCAAAUUUAAUCAAAUUGUUAAUCAUUUUUUUUCAAUUUGAUUUAAUUUGAUUUAUCGAUUUGGUGUGGUUUGUCAAUUUCCUUUAAACACCCAUAGUUGGAAUAAUAUUUUUGAGUUCUCUAUUUAGCAAAUUGCAGCACCACUAGAAGGUAGUUGUGGUUUGGCAUGCUAUUUAUAUAUUUAAAUAAAAAAACCUAGGUUGGUAGACUUGUUAUUCAUUGGGAACUUGGGAAACUUGUGUGGGUAAUGUAUACUAAUUUUGAGGCUAGUUUAGUACUUCAUCGGUUCAACAAUAAUUCCUCCGUCCCUUUUUAUACGUCACUUUAUUUUGUAUUUGUAUUAAGAAAUGAUGUAACUUUACCUUUCUAUUCUUAUUUAAUUUUUUUGGAACUCAAAUUUUCAAUCAAUGAAUAUGAAUUAAUUUAACCAAUGAACAUGAAUCAUUACUUAACUUUUCUAAGUUGGUCAAAUGUAUAUUUUCAAGGCUAAGAACUCACCAGGGUAAUAAAAGAACAAUAUGGUAAUUUAUGCAUUGAUUUUAUAAAAUAACAAGUAUUAUGGACCAACUAUUUAUAGAAAAAGGAUGACAUAUAUAAAGGGACGAAGGAGUACUUUUUUAUUAUUGAUUUUGUACAUUUCUUAAGAAAAUAUAAAUAGAAGGAUAAUUUUAUUAUAUCACCCUUUGAAUAUAAUAAAUACAAUGUCUUGAAAAAUGUAAUAGAGAAAUAACUAUAAUUAAUGAUAAGGGUAAAUUAGGAACCAAGUGUAAAAUUAUUCAUCAAUUUCAUAAAAGUAGACAAGUAUUGUUGGACAUCUCAAAAUAGUAUAGUGGACAACUAUUGUUGGACGAAGGGAAUAAUAUACGGAUACAAGCAACGUAGGGUAGCUCACCCUCGUGUGGUUUGGGUUUGAAAAUGUAUGAUUGGAUUCUUUCUUUCUGGUGGUUGCAUGUCAAUUUGAUUUGAUAUACAUUUCAACUUGUACUUUGAAUAAUAUAUAACAUCAUAUUAUGAUGAUCACUUUAAAUGUUUUUUUUCUCUGUAUGUUUAUAUAGUCAAUAUUCAAUAUUUCAAAUUUGUAUACCGUGAAUAAGAUGAUCAUAUCAUUAUUACUCUUUUACUAAAUUCCCAAAUUAUGAAAUGACAUAAUUACAUAAAGAAUUUGAAUCAAGGAUUUGUACCAAUUAUGAAAGUCAAGACUAGUUGAGCUAAAUGUUGGUAUUAGUCUUCAAUAACAAUCUGAAAGGAAUUAAAUGACUACGCUCGAUAUCUAGAAGAUUAAGGGGCGGAAUUAGAAAUCAAGGUACACAUUUAUUUUGUAUAUAUAAAUAUAUAUAAAUUAUAAUUAAUUUAGAACUCUAUAACUUCAAAGGAUACUUAGAAUUAAUUCCAAAUCCACAUAUGCUUCAAAGUUCAAAUUCUAAUUUAUUCUUCAAAUAUAUAUGUACUUUAAUCAUCGGUCCUCUCUAACCAAAUCAUACUCAAGUUUUUUUGUUUUGGUUUCCUUGUCAGGUACUUACAUUGGAGUCCGAUUAAAUUCAAAAUUAGUGAUAAGAAGUUCUACAUUGGGGUAAAGCGCUCCGUGACAAAGGCGACUCUGUACCCAUGGGGACUCGAACCCGACAGAAUGAAGAAGAACUUACUACUCAACUACGAUCCUGGUUAGUAAAGCAUACUCAAGUUGUUAGGUGAGGAAAAGGUCUGGUUUAUGCAUGGGGACCAGGCUGGAUUCUUGUUCUUUAGCGUCUUCGGCCAGACAAGACUCAAAAAAUAUUACUGGAAAUUGUCUUAAGAAAUGUAAGUUGAGAGACACCUAUCUCUUGAAAAACUGGAAUAUAACCAAAGGCAUCACUAUUGAAAAAUCAAUUGCAUAGGGAUAAGAAAAUUAAUUGCUUGGGAAUAGGACUUGUAUAUAAUUAAGUUUGUGAACAAAAAGAGAGAAGUUGUCAAUUUUUACGGUUUAAACAACGAGGCAAAGGCAAUACAAUACUCUAUUGGCGAUUGAUCAAUUAAGAAAAAGGUUUAAAGUUUAGGCAGGACACGCAAACUUGGAUAAUCUGUCUGUUGGAGCAGCCAAUCAAUAUACUCCGAUCUCUCUAUAGACUUUGACUAAUAUUUUAUGAGGUAUAUUCGAUCUCAUCAUAUUAAUAUGAGAAUGAGUGCAAUUUUUUGAAUUAACCUAAUUUAAUUUAGUAUUAAAGAUUAGUCAAAUUAACUCUCAUAAAAUGAAACGUGACAAGUAAAACUGAACGGAUAAAUGUGUGUGCAUAUAUAAAUAUAAAUAUAUAGAGAGAGAGAAAAGAGAGAGGAGUACUGAAAACACCUGAACUUGAUGUGAAUUGUUAGUUUCGUCCUCGAACUAUUGACAACUUUAAAAAAACUCAUCUACUUGAUUAACUGAACUUAAAUACACCUCCGAUCUGUCACAUGACAUAUCAAGAGCUUUCAAACUCUUGUAGGAGCUGAACCUCUUAAUAGAAAGUCGAGACAAGUGUUGAAAACACUCCUAAACAUGACGAGAAUUUAGGGGUAUAUUUCACUCAUGUGACAAGAUCAGAGGUGUAUUUAAGUUCAGUUAUGUAACGAUCGGUUUCCAUCGUUAUAGAAAAGCCAAUGGAGAAAGAAUUGGAGCCAGAAUACUUUUGAGUAGUGACUUGAAAAUUCCUAGCCUAGUCCAGAUUUGGACGAAAUUUGAGUCAUGUGAGGUCUAGGGAAAUCUAGUAAUUAAUAGGGGAUUUAACUAUGAAUUUGAUCACAUAAGUGGAUAGCCAAGACGUUAAGGAGAUUGUACGUCUUUACAGAAUCGAAUUCGGGAGAGUAGAACUCCCGAAACUGAUCUUAAGGUGAAUGAGUAGUUUUAGAACGUCAAGGUUUGAAGGUGUGUUGCGAAAUGGGAGUUUGGAAUUCAAAUCCCGACUCUCUGUCUCCGUGCAAGCUGCCAGGGUGGGGUUAGUUCCGCUAGGGCGGGGCCGCUGUGGUGGGUUGGGUCCCGCUGUGGCGGGACAGUCACGAGUUAAGUCGGGGAAAAUAAUCAAAAUCGUUAUUUUCUGCAACUUCGUUCUUGAGAGCUAGGAGACGAACCAGAGCUGUUCUUAACAGUUUUUCACGAUUUCUAGUGCUAAAGGUAAGAUAAUUACUCCCCUAAUCCGUAAUUCGAUUCUUAGAACUUAGAAUCUUGAGUAAUUAUCAUUGGGGGAAGGUUUUACCCUGAAGUUGAUGGUGGAAAAAAUCCUAAUUGAGUAUUGAGAUUUUGAUUUUGGCCUAGGAUUGAUAGUUUGAUUAUUAUCCGGGUAAAUUAGGCCUUGUUUAUUGAUCCUUGCAUAAUUUACUUGUGUUUAGACCAAGAACAAGCGGAAAGAAUCCGGCAAGGGAAGGCUCAAGUGUCUUAGGAGGAUUCAAGCUUGGUUUUGAGGUAGGUGAUGGUUUGAUUUCUUGUUGUGUGAUAUAUGCCGGUUGAUUGCUUCAUUAUAUGCAUGCAUGUGAAUAAGGAAAAGUAAAUCAAAUCUGAUGAAAAUGAGUAUGUAUGAAUAAUUACAUGCCAUGAACCCUUUAUUUGAUUGUAUGACUAUGAGCAUGUUCAUUAUGGGUGUGAUUGUGAUUGUGGUUGUGUUGAUUGGAUCGGGUAUCACGUUUCGAUACACAUAUUGUAUCGAGUGUCAUGUUUCGACACAUGUAUAUUGGAUCGGGUGUUACGUUCUGACACACAUAUUGAAUCGGGUGUCACGUUUUGACACAUGUACAUUGAAUCGAGUGUCACGUUCCGACACACUAACAAUUUGGGUGUAUGUUCCAUGAGAGGACCACUUGUGAUUAUUACAUUCAUGUCUACCUGUCAUUGAUAUUGGAAAGUUGUAUGUUGCUUCUGAAAUGCUAAUUGAACUAUGUAUUAUGUAUAUGUGUGGUUACUGUGUUGUAAUUACAUGUCUGUAUUUCGCUUACUGGAGUAGCUGCGUGAUACUACCAGUACACUGUGGUUGUGUACUGAUACUAAACUUGCACGUUCUUUGUUGAGUACAGGGCAUCUUCAGGCGGCUACUGCUAGACCUCAACUAGGGGGAUCAUUGAUCGAAGAUCGAAUUUAAGGGUGAACCAGUUCUUUUAGGCUGCCAUGGAUCCUUUAGUUAUUUAGUCCAUUCUUUUUGGACUCAAACUGCUUAGUUAGACUUUUACUUAUGUUAGAUUCGGGGUUGCACCCCUUUUUCUUAGACUUAUCAUUUAGUAGAGUUUUGGUACAUUGACUUUCAAGUUCUAGGGGUUGAAUUUCCGCAUAAGUUAUGUUUAGUUGCUUAUUUAAGCUUUCGGAGUUUAUGGGAACUCCAUGUUAUUUAGUCAUUUAAACCUGUUUCAGUAUCUUUAAAUGCUUAGUUUUUCGUUAAGUUGCUUAGUUGGGUUGUAGUAAUGGUUCUCCCACUGGAGGGUUAAUGUGGGUGUCAAUCACGACAGUAUGAGUCGUGACAAGUUAGUCUAGGAGGAAUGUUUUUAAGACUGUCACUAAUUCAGAGAUAAAACUAAUAAUUCACGCCAAAUUUAGAGGUGUUUUCAAUAUAUAUAUAAAAUAAUAAAGAAAAAAAGGAUCUCUCCAAAUAUUUUACAUGCGGGGGGGGGGGGGGACUUUUACCACAAAGGAUACUCCAUAAUAUGAUAUGUUUGACUAUUUAGCAUUCGAUUAACUUUCGGUUGUUAUUUUUACGUAUGUUAUAUGAGUAUAUGUCUAAUUCUAUAAUUGACCGGGAGACCAAUUUUUCCCCCUCUUGUCAUUGGUCCAAAAACUUUGGAAAUAGCAGUAAUAUUUUGGUAACAAUAUUUAAAGUCAAUCACUGAACCAUCACAUGAUCUGGAUAUCAUUUCAUGUAUACAGAGUAUUCAAUUAUUAUUGCUAAGAACUUUUGUCUCGAAUUACAAGUAGUGGUUGAUUAUAUUAAUUAUGAGUCUUAAAAGCUCCUUCACAUCAAUCAUCAAAGACUAUAAUGAUGUUUUAGCCUCUUCUUAAUUUUCCACACCUAAAACUAAUUAAAAUCGACUAUUUCUAAGUUUCAUAGGUAAAAUUAUUCAACACUUGUAUUAAUCCACAACUAGACAAACAAGGAAACUUCCAAUAUGCAAUAAUUUCAAAGUUCAACAAUUUUAGGUUCCAGCUAGCUAGCCUUUUCAGUCCAGUCCACCACCUAUCCCUUUUCACAAGAUUGGGACCAGAAAGAUACUUGGUAAACAGUCCAGCCACCACCUAUAUUUUUUUCUUGAUGAAAAUUAUAUAUUGUUUUAUUAUCAUGCACAAAAUAAGGGUAUUCAUCAUUCGGUUUGGAUCUAUUUUAAUUCCCUCUAAAAGAAAAUCGAACUAAUAAAAUUAGUUUUUAAAUAUUGAAACCAAAUCAAUAAUUAAGUUGUUAUUCCUCUCUUUAGAAUUUUGUAGGUUCCAUUUCUUUUUUUAGAUAUGCGAUGCUAUACUUCCAAGCACAUAUAUAGUAGAGUACGUGGCUAUAUUUCUAUCAUCGCUAUCAAGUUGAUGAAAAAUGAACUAAAUAUGUAAUCAAGUUAUAUAUGUACUUUCCUCAAUAAAAUCGUGCGUAUUGUCAAUAAUUUUAGCUAUCUUCAAGAAACUAAAUAAAACUUCUUAUGUUGAUGUUUUAUGAGAAACAAAUUAAUGAGUUAUGAUUUAUCAAAAGAUAUCUUGAUGAUAAUUUAAAUUAAAUAAUGAUUAAUAAUUAAGUGAUUCAAAGAUGAAUUAUCUUAACCAUGAAAUUGAUGUUUGGACUCAUCAAAAUCACUAGAGUCUACAAGUCAACAUGCAAUUAGCUACGAACUUUAUAUGGGAACCUGAAUUCAUAUAUCAGAAAAGAGUUAAAAUUGUCCUUGAACUAUCUGAAAUAGACCACUUUUAUCCUUCGUUACAUUUUGAGACCCGCCAUUAUCCUAAGAGACCACAAAUACCGUCAAUAGUUCAUACCCCAAAUUUUUAGUGACGUGGCAAGUCAUGUGGGAGUAAUUCCUCCACCUAAGCGUUGCUAACUAGGACCAACUUUAAAAAACUAGACCUUUCGCGGCACAAAAGUCGCCACUAAAGGUUUUAAUUGAUUUUUAGCAUUAUAUUUCGAUUUUGUGUUUUUUUCUUCAUUGUUUUUAAAAAAUCACAAAUAAUAUUGAUCAAGGAGGAGUUUGAAGACACUGUAUGUUUUUUUUUAUAUGUCAAAUGUAAAUACAUAAAAUGUCCAAUGAUGCAUUAUGUCGUAGGUGAUUUGAAUCGAGAAGUAAUUUUGAUGAUUUUUGUAAUAAUAUAUUGGAUGUUUUUAAUGUUGAUAGUGCAUGUUAUUUAUUUUAGAAAAUUAGGUUGCAACCAAAAAUUAUUUAUCAUUUUUUUUGUUGAAAAAUUGGUUUUACUAGUGAAGGGUUGUUGGAGCCUUAGUCGCCACUAAAAAUACUCCAAACCUUAAUUAGUGGCAAUAUUUUUUGAUUUGUGGCGACUUUUUUCGUCGCAAAAAAGUCUAGCUCUUUUGUAGUGAAUCCUAGUUGGCAACGCUUAGGUGGAGGGAUUAGUCCCAUAUGACUUGCCACAUCACUAAAAAAUUGGAUAAACUCUUGAGGGUAUUUGUGGUCUCUUGGGAUAACGGUGGGGGUAUUUUUGAUCCCAAAAUAUGAUGAAGGGUAUAAGUGGUCUAUUUCGCAUAGUUCAUGAGUACUUUUAAUCCUUUUCCGUUCAUGUAUUAACCGUUAGAUAGGGAACCAUGAGCUUCAGGCCUUAGGAUUGUGAAUGAGCCGAGGAAAACUGUUCUUCUUGUUGUUUCCAUAGUUGCUAGCUUAUAUUUUAAUUAACUACUUUGACAAUACGAUAUUAUUCUACUCUUCUUGUAAGAUGUUUUAUCGGGAUAUAUGCCAAGGGCCCUUUAAAAGAAUAGACAACAUGGUCGUGGUUGUGGGAGGCUCCCUACAACAACGUAACACUCUUUAAAAGAAUGUUAGUGAACCAUCAACCCCUAUGUCUCAUGACUGGGUUGGUUCAAAUAAUCGACCCAUUUAUUUUGUCACAUGAGAGUAAUUUUCAGCAAAUUGUACAUAUUUCUCAAAAUGUUGGUACUCACUACUCAACAAGCAAAUCAAGAGUGUAACAAUGUGGUCAAAAGCACUGUUCUCUUGUAUUGAUAAUGAUAACAAAUCAAAUUAGACAGAGAAUUAAAUUUAUGGAAAGACAAGUAUAAAAGUAUAUUACAAAUCAAGAAUAUAAAAAUUAAUAUAUACCAUAAUUUUUUUAAAAACAUUUAUAUAAAAGUGUACCCGCAUGCAUGCACAUUUAUAAUUUUUAAAUAAAUAUUUAUACAAUCGGUUUAGAUCGAUUUGUCAAUUGUUUUCCUCUUAAAAGUAAAACCAACCAAAUUUUAUUAGUUUUCAAAAUUAUAAACUAAAAUCAAACCAAAAGAAGUAGCAAAUUAAGAAUUACAUAGUCAAAACUCGGCGCCAAAAUCUAAAAUAUAUUUUUUGGCACACCAAAUCACUAUUAAGGGUUAAAUAAUUUAUUUUCGGAUAAAGAUUUGAAUUAGAUUUGAGUAUCUUAAGUUGGAAUUUUCUUCAUAGUUGGUGACUAGAUGGAUGGGUUUUUUCUUGAACUUUAAAUGCAGAAAUUAGAACGUGGUUGGUAGUAUGUAGCUAGUAACACACAACAAGAUUAAAUUCCAUAUAUAAUUUUCCAUCAAAUAUAUAAAACAAUAUUAGCAUAAAAUUAAUUAGUUAGAUGUUAGAACUUUGACUUCUCUAGUUUGAAUAAUUAAAAUAUCUAUUUUAUGUAAUUGACUAAUGAAAUGAAUUGAAUAUUUGUGUGUAAGUUAUUAGUUUGAUAUACUUUAGACCUUCUUUUGAAAAUCAUCGUAAUUCUCUAUUACAUGAGUAUAUUACAUGACUAUAUGUAAAUCAAAGUCGAACAAAUAAUGAUUACCGGUUUAACGUAUCGUAAAAUACCUAAAAUGAAUUUUAAAACAUCUAAAUUACUUUGAUAUGAUAAUGAUAUAAUAUUUUAAGAAAUCGAAAAUCAAAAUUACCAUAUCAAAGUUUUCAAAUAUUGUGCCAUGCCUAUCCCUAUUAAGCAAUGAUAAAUAGUAUACAUUUUUUACUAUAUCACCCUUUAAACAUAAUAAAUUCUAUAUUUUGAAAAAACAGUGAGAUAUGAAUAUUACUUAAUAAUAAAUAAGGUAAAAUAAAUAAAUUAUUUCUUUAUUUUUUAAACUAGACAAGUAAAAAUAAAUAUUAAUUUUCUUAUAGUGAACAAAUAAAAAUGAAGGAGAAAAAUAAUUUUGAGCAUAUAUUUUUAAUAUAUAUACAAAUAAUAUGAACAAAAGGGUAAGAAUAUGAUGAAUAACAGAAGAACAAAUUAAUUAAGAAAUUAGUUGCGAUCUCAACGUCACACGCGGUUUUAACUCCCCCGUAAAAUAAUCCUUAAUCGACUAUUAAACUCACUCGAUAAGAAUCAGAGGCUUUUCCAAAAAAAAUUAAGUGGAAUUAAUGAAACUGGUUGAAUCCAAUCAAAAUCAGAUAUAGUUGAUUUCUCAUUUAAUGUGGCCCUUUUAAAAAAAAAAAUUAAAAUUAAAUGAGGGCACAAAGGCCCAUUUAUUGAUAAAUAAGAAAAUUAAUGUGGCCCUUUAAUUUGCUUCCCAAGCAUUAUAAAAAAAAUUAUACUUUCUUUAAAAAUUCUGUCAAUGAGUUACCACUUAAUUUUCAAUUAAAACUCGUUCGAUUAUGUUGUUUCCAUCAGUUUUGCGUUAAAUAUUACAGUAGUAGUUUUAUUUGCUUCAGAAGCCAGAUAUAUAAUUGAUAACAAAAGCUCCUAGGCUAAUUAGUUACUACACUAUUUUUAAUCAAAGAUUAUCUAAACGUGUUUAAAUAGCAUUUGAAUACUUGUUAAGAUUUGGUAUAAUAAUUGUCCAUCUAGCUGGCCAAACAUCUUUCCCUAUAACCUACUUUUGGUUAGACCAUUCUCAUUUCUAACAACUUGCUAUUAUUAUUUUAUCAAUUUGCCUUGGGUUUUAAGUUUUAACAACACUGUCCUCUAACUUAUAGAAUUUACAAAAAUAUUGUCUAAUAUUUUUAAUUUUAUUUUGAAAAAAAAAUAUUACUGGUUGUUUUUUCUUUUUGUUGAAAGAGUACCUAGUUAAUUACUCCCUUCUAUCACGAUUAUUUGUCUUGUAUAUUAAAAUAAUAUUUUUUUAUUUAUUUAUCCACUUUAGUAUUAAGAGAAAAUUAAAAUGACUUUUUUAAUUUUACUCUCAAUAAUAAUUGUUCUUUUUUAAAAAAAAUAAUCAAGUCCGCUAAGAUUCUACAUGCACCAAAUUAAUAUGUGUAUAUAUAUAAUUUAUUAUAUUUCAUAAGAAAAAUAUAAAUUUUGAUAAGUAAAAUUAAAUCGAAAUUGGAUUAUAGAGUAGAUAAACAUGACCUUUCAUUAUGUCUAAUUAUCUAUUAGCUAUACAGAUUGUUCUUUGCUUCAUUAAACUUUAUAUAAGAUAAAAUUUUAUUGCGUUAGCUAGAAAACACGUCGACUAGUUGUUUAUGUAUCAGAUCUAAUCACUCACUUGAUGACAUAAUGCCGACAAAAACCAUAAAACUAGCUACCAAAACCACAUAAUAAUUAGCAAAAUGAAACAAUUGAAGAACGAAAGAGUUAUUUGAGCAUCCACCCUCUUAUUUUAAUAUUUUCAUGCUGUCAACGUUAUUUGUGUUAUUGUUUUCGACCUCAUUUUGAUCGAUGGUUGAUAUUUAUAUCAAAUUUUUAAUCAACUCAAAUAUGUUGCGGAAAGUUUAUUUAAGGGGAAAAUGCUUUCUUAGAUACACUUUUUCCUUAUGAUCAGGAAUUAAUGAAUUAUAUAAAUCCCAUAUCACAACCUUUAUCGGUGACUCUACGGUGUCAAAAAGGGGCAAGUCUGACUCAUGGUAACUCAUUUUGUUACUACCACCACCACCACAACAACAUUUAAAUCACAGUCUAAACAAAAUUUCAACUUCAAAGUACAAUAAUUUGUUAUAGUUUUUGCUAAUUUUGAUUUAUUUUUAGAGUGGUGUAAUUUUGUGUGGUGCAAUUAAAUUUCUAGUUCAUUUUAUACCUUUUACAGUGUCUAGUACAGUUUUUUUUUGUUUUUUGUUUUUUUGUGUUACAUAUUUUAGAUUUGAUCGGAACUUUUUGAUGUUUAUAGUUAAAAAAAACAAUUCUUUCAUAGUUUCCGUCAAGUCUAACAGACAAAAUUAGAUAAAAAUAUUAGACGGAAACCAAAAAUAUUAAUUUUUGACAAAUUUAAAAGAUAAAUAUUAUCUAGUGCAUACUUAAUAAACUAUUUUAAAUCUAUCCACGGACAUAAAAGCUUAUUUUGUCAAUUUGUCCCUCUCGUUUUUUAUCAUUUUUGUCAAGGGAGGAAGAAGCAGGACUACUUUGCCGUUUUCCUUAGGGCUCAAUGAUUUUAUAAUUUUAUAUUCAAUAAUUGACACGCCCCAUUCUAUUCCCACCAAUUUCUUGUCUCAAAUAACAUACUUGUUAACAAUUCAUUCUCAUUCUUUUGAUCUCUUUUUUGGUAUUUCAAUCAGUAUGAUAUCUGCAUUGAAGUUCAACUAAUUUGGAUUCGUACCAGGGCCAUAUUUGGGAUAGCACUCUUUAUCAAAGAUUUUUUCAUAUUCAGAGCUCGAAUCAAGAUAUUUGAUUAAAAGAGGAACAAUCUCAUUCACUGCACCACAUCCGUAGAUUGAUGUCAAUCCUUUUAUUUUGCCUAUUGCUUUCUUAUUGGUAGUUUUGUAUUUGUCAGUUUCCGAUGGUACAUUGAAUUCCACCAAAAAUGUUAUUCUACUUGCAAAGAAAAUAUACUUACAAAUAGAGUGAGAAAAAAAUGAGACCAAACUUAGUUUGUAGUAGUUAGGAGCUACGCAGAUCUACACAGUUGAAUAUUUAAUAAGACAAUACGUAAAAAAAAUUCUUAAGUCAUCCCAAAAGACUAUUUCUUUUAUGAGAAAAUUAUAUAUAAUAGCAAACUAUUAAUUCAAAUUAAAUAUUAUAAACAUAGUUUGAUUUAAUUGUACCCCAUAGCAAACUGUUGCUAUUUUCGCCUAUCUCCCUGGUGGAAUCUCGCUCACCACUCUCGCUUUUAUACAAACACAAAUGUAUAAAAUGUGUUUGUGUUUGUAUAAAGCAAGAGAAAAUUGUACAUAUACAUAUAUUUUCGUUCCCUGUCUCCCCUCUCCCAGAUCUCGCUCACCACUCUCUAGAUCUCACUUGCCACUCUCACUCGCCUCUCUCACUUUAUACAAACACAAAUGUAUGCAUUGCGUUUGUGUUUGUAUAAAGCGAGAGAAAAUUACAAAUACAAAUGCAUAUAUUUUCAUCUACACUUAUAAUUAUACAAAUACGAUCUUCCCUUGCCCAGUUUUCUUUUGUCUUUCUCUCUUUCUCGCUUUAUACAAAACAUAUUAUACAAUUGAUUCUUUUGUAUAUGUAUGCCGAAACAGAUUAUACAAUUGCUUCUUUUGUAUAUAUGUAUAGCGAAAUAGCCAUAGCUUUCAUUUGUAUAUGUAUAGCGAAAUAUACAUAUUUUUGUUUGUUAUGAAACACAAUUAUGCAAACUAUAGCUAUAGCAUACAAAUAUGAUUUUUGUGUUUGCUAUAUGUGAAAGUUGCUCUUCUUUUAUUAUAUUAUGUUUACGGAACAUUACACAAAUGUAAUUUUAAAAAAAUGAGUUUAAAAAGUUAUAAUUACUAUUAAAAGACUGAGUAAAUAUCUUAAAAGGUCACUCAAAUAUGUGAAAUUAUUUGAAAAAGUUACUCAACGUAUGAAUUUUCUUUUAUAAAGUCACUCAAGUUAAACUAUUUUUCUAGAAAAAUCAUUAUAACUAAAAAAUAAAAGAGGUAAUUGCACAAACCAUCCUUCAAGUUUAGUUUUCUAAUACUUAUUUCCAUUGUAGUUUAUAAUAGACGAACUUUCACAUAUAGCCACUCAAAAAUAACCUAAUUACUCUCCAUAGCUAUAGUUUGAUAAUUGCAAUUCGUAGCUACAUGUAAUACGAGGAGGCUGACUUCAAGAUUCUUGAAAAAAAUGCCAAAGCUAAGGUUAUUCUUAUUUGUGGCCUUGGACCAGAUGAGUAUCGCCGAAUAUCUAGUUGCAUAACUACAAAACAAAUUUGGGAUACUCUCAUGGACGCACACGAAGAAACAUGAUCAGAACAUACUAAUGAUGGAAAGGUAGAUGAGAUCGCUUUCAUUGCUAUUGGAGAUUCAGACGUGGAAGAAGAAGAAAAAUAUGAGGUAAGUAUCCUUGACUUGAAAGAAAAAAUGCAUUUUUUUUUGUCUAAAAGAGAACUAAUUAGCAUGAUAAGUAGCUUAUUUGAUGAUUUUGAAGAAUUAACCUGUGAAAGAGAUCAAUUAUUUAAAGAUUUUGCAGAUAAAAAAUUUGAGUGCAUGGAUCUCAAAAAUUGUAAAACUGUAAUUGAAGAAGAAAAUUGUUCUCUAAAGAAACAGGUUAAUAAACUUGAGUCAUCAAAGUUGAAUUUGAAAUAUGAAAUUCUUAAGUUGUCCAUCAUUGAAAAAGGGAAGAUAAAUGAUACUGGGAAGAAAUUAGAACAUGAUUUAAAAGAAUGCAAAAUUGAUUUUUUCUGUGAAAAAGAUAAGGUGAAAAAAUUGAACCUAGAAAUUUCCAGGUUAAAAAUGGGAUCUUGAAAAGUCUAAUAGAUGGACGAAUUCCUCUAGAAUUGUUAAGAAAUUGAGUGAUAGGGUGCACAAUGAGAAGGCUGGUAUAGGAUUCCAUAAAGAAAAUACUAUCUCUGAAGAUUUGUUGUAAAAUUGGUCAUCCAACUACUGAGUGUCCAGUUGCUAAUGAUUUUAGAAAAAGAAAUACUAAAUUCGCAAAUGGAAACAAAUUUAUACCUGUUGGCAGAAACAGGUCCACUAACCAGUUGCCUAGAUGGGCGAGAAGAAAUCUGAUUCACCCUUUUGAUCAUAAGAAAGGACCCAAGCUUGUCUGGGUUUCUAAGACUAACCCUUAAGCUAUUUUUGCAGGUGAAGCUGAAAGGAAGCAAGUGAUUUAAUUCAUAGAUAUUGCUUGCUUAAGAGAUAUCAAUGAAGUCAAACAAAAGUUCCUUUCACUCACUUCUCAAAAAGGGGGAAUGUGUCAUUUAAAAAAAAAAAGGAAAAAAAAGUGGAGUUAAUGCAUGUGUAAGGGGGAAGCAAAAAAAAAAGAGAGGAUUAAAGUGAAACUGAUGAAAGUGCAUUGGAACACGUUGUACCACAUGUUUCAUUUGUUGAACAGACUAAGGGCAUAUUGAUAGGGGGAACAAUGAAUCUUGAAACUGAUUUAUCCACAAAAGUAUGUGGUUGCUGGAUCACGUUGUUCUUUGUCAAACAACAAUUGAUGGAUUGUGACACUAAGUAGGGAGAAUUAUGAAAAGAAUAAGUUAGACUUGAGGAUGAUUAAGAUUGCAUGAACUCCCCUCAAUGAUUGGCUAGAAUAAUUGUUCUCCUUAAUUUUAUGAGCUAAAAUGUUAUUCAAUUCAGUCUUACACAUUUAUUUGUGUGUCCCAAUUCUAUAUCCUUGAC